CGUCUCGGUCCCCUCAAGAUAUGUCACCGUCCCCCGGGGAGGGGCGGGGGGUCUUUGCCCCCUCCUCGCCGGCGUUCGGCGUGUAGGUACAGGCCGGAGCGUGCAUUUAAUAGUUGCGCUCUUCUCUUCAUUUGAAUUUCUCCAUUUUUCGUGGUACCCCGGCGGCAGUUCUCGGCGUCGAGUCCGGUGUUUUCCCCGGUGUUUCCCGGUGUUUCCGGUCCCUCGGUGUUUUUGUGGUGUGUUGUGUUGUGUGCUCCCUCCCCCUCCGGCUAGCCUGGUUUCCCCCUCUUUUGAUUGAGCAUACAUGGAAGUAACCGAUGGCCACGAAUAAGCGAGCGUUUGUCUCGGAGCUUUCCUCCGUCGUCACCACCAGGGUUUCUACAUCACAUCAAAAAGUAAGUCUCAAAUUUUAUUAUAUUUCACUUGAACUUUACUAUCAUAUUGGUGUUACAAAGUUUUAAAAUAUAUUAAAUACUUUUGCCAAAGAAUAAAC
rnacentral:lncRNA from 1 species